UGCCAGCAGCCGCUGUAAUCCGAGGGUUGCUAUCGUUGUCCGGAAUAACUGGGCGUAAAGGGUCCGUAGGCGUUUUAUUAAGUUGAUUGUUAAAUCCACCGGCUUAACCGGUGAUCUGCAAUCAAAACUGAUAAAAUAGAAUAUGUGAGAGGAAUGUGGAAUUCCUGGUGUAGCGGUGACAUGCGUAGAUAUCAGGAGGAACACCAAUGGCGAAGGCAGCAUUCUGGCACAAUAUUGACGCUGAGGGACGAAAGCGUGGGGAGCGAACAGGAUUAGAUA
rnacentral:rRNA from 1 species